rnacentral:rRNA from 1 species
CCUACGGGUGGCAGCAGUGAGGAAUAUUGGUCAAUGGACGAGAGUCUGAACCAGCCAAGUAGCGUGAAGGAUGACUGCCCUAUGGGUUGUAAACUUUUUUUAUAUGGGAAUAAAAUGUUCCACGUGUGGGAUUUUGUAUGUACCAUAUGAAUAAGGCUCGGCUAACUCCGUGCCAGCAGCCGCGGUAAUACGGAGGAUCCGAGAGUUAUCCGGAUUUAUUGGGGUUAAAGGGAGCGUAGGUGGAUUGGUAAGUCAGUUGUGAAAGUUUGCGGCUCAACCGUAAAAUUGCAGUUGAAACUGGCAGUCUUGAGUACAGGAGAGGUGGGCGGAAUUCGUGGUGUAGCGGUGAAAUGCUUAGAUAUCACGAAGAACUCCGAUUGCGAAGGCAGUUCACUGGACUGCAACUGACACUGAGGCUCGAAAGUGUGGGUAUCAAACAGGAUUAGAUACCCCUGUAGUC